UUUAAAGUCUAAUCUGCCCAAUGAGGGGUUGAAUGGCCGCGGUAUUUUGACUGUGCAAAGGUAGCAUAAUAAUUAGUUUUUUAAUUGAAAGCUGGAAUGAAUGAUUGGACGAGAAAAUUACUGUCUCAAUUUAAUUUAAUUAGAAUUUUAUUUUUAAGUAAAAAAGCUUAAAUAUUAUUAAUAGACGAGAAGACCCUAUAGAGUUUUAUAUUAAUUUAUUUAUUUAUAUUUAGAAUUUUUUUUUAUUUUAUUUAAAUUAUUAUUUUGUUGGGGUGAUAGAAAAAUUUAAUUAACUUUUUUUUUUAAUUUUCAUUAAUUUAUGUUUAAUUGAUCCAUUUUUUAUGAUUAUAAGAUUAAAUUACCUUAGGGAUAACAGCGUAAUUUUUUUUUAGAGUUCUUAUCGAUAAAAAAAAUUGCGACCUCGAUGUUGGAUUAAAAUUAAUUGUUGGUGUAGUAGCUAAUAUAUUGGGUCUGUUCGACCUUUAAAAUUUUACA
rnacentral:rRNA from 1 species